UGGCGGCGUGCCUAAUACAUGCAAGUCGAACGAACUCUGGUAUUGAUUGGUGCUUGCAUCAUGAUUUACAUUUGAGUGAGUGGCGAACUGGUGAGUAACACGUGGGAAACCUGCCCAGAAGCGGGGGAUAACACCUGGAAACAGAUGCUAAUACCGCAUAACAACUUGGACCGCAUGGUCCGAGUUUGAAAGAUGGCUUCGGCUAUCACUUUUGGAUGGUCCCGCGGCGUAUUAGCUAGAUGGUGGGGUAACGGCUCACCAUGGCAAUGAUACGUAGCCGACCUGAGAGGGUAAUCGGCCACAUUGGGACUGAGACACGGCCCAAACUCCUACGGGAGGCAGCAGUAGGGAAUCUUCCACAAUGGACGAAAGUCUGAUGGAGCAACGCCGCGUGAGUGAAGAAGGGUUUCGGCUCGUAAAACUCUGUUGUUAAAGAAGAACAUAUCUGAGAGUAACUGUUCAGGUAUUGACGGUAUUUAACCAGAAAGCCACGGCUAACUACGUGCCAGCAGCCGCGGUAAUACGUAGGUGGCAAGCGUUGUCCGGAUUUAUUGGGCGUAAAGCGAGCGCAGGCGGUUUUUUAAGUCUGAUGUGAAAGCCUUCGGCUCAACCGAAGAAGUGCAUCGGAAACUGGGAAACUUGAGUGCAGAAGAGGACAGUGGAACUCCAUGUGUAGCGGUGAAAUGCGUAGAUAUAUGGAAGAACACCAGUGGCGAAGGCGGCUGUCUGGUCUGUAACUGACGCUGAGGCUCGAAAGUAUGGGUAGCAAACAGGAUUAGAUACCCUGGUAGUCCAUACCGUAAACGAUGAAUGCUAAGUGUUGGAGGGUUUCCGCCCUUCAGUGCUGCAGCUAACGCAUUAAGCAUUCCGCCUGGGGGAGUACGGCCGCAAGGCUGAAACUCAAAGGAAUUGACGGGGGCCCGCACAAGCGGUGGAGCAUGUGGUUUAAUUCGAAGCUACGCGAAGAACCUUACCAGGUCUUGACAUACUAUGCAAAUCUAAGAGAUUAGACGUUCCCUUCGGGGACAUGGAUACAGGUGGUGCAUGGUUGUCGUCAGCUCGUGUCGUGAGAUGUUGGGUUAAGUCCCGCAACGAGCGCAACCCUUAUUAUCAGUUGCCAGCAUUAAGUUGGGCACUCUGGUGAGACUGCCGGUGACAAACCGGAGGAAGGUGGGGAUGACGUCAAAUCAUCAUGCCCCUUAUGACCUGGGCUACACACGUGCUACAAUGGAUGGUACAACGAGUUGCGAACUCGCGAGAGUAAGCUAAUCUCUUAAAGCCAUUCUCAGUUCGGAUUGUAGGCUGCAACUCGCCUACAUGAAGUCGGAAUCGCUAGUAAUCGCGGAUCAGCAUGCCGCGGUGAAUACGUUCCCGGGCCUUGUACACACCGCCCGUCACACCAUGAGAGUUUGUAACACCCAAAGUCGGUGGGGUAACCUUUUAGGAACCAGCCGCCUAAGG
rnacentral:rRNA from 2 species